UACACUCCUACGGGAGGCAGCAGUGGGGAAUUUUGGACAAUGGGCGAAAGCCUGAUCCAGCAAUGCCGCGUGAGUGAAGAAGGCCUUCGGGUUGUAAAGCUCUUUUGUCAGGGAAGAAACGGUGAGAGCUAAUAUCUUUUGCUAAUGACGGUACCUGAAGAAUAAGCACCGGCUAACUACGUGCCAGCAGCCGCGGUAAUACGUAGGGUGCAAGCGUUAAUCGGAAUUACUGGGCGUAAAGCGUGCGCAGGCGGUUUUGUAAGUCUGAUGUGAAAUCCCCGGGCUCAACCUGGGAAUUGCAUUGGAGACUGCAAGGCUAGAAUCUGGCAGAGGGGGGUAGAAUUCCACGUGUAGCAGUGAAAUGCGUAGAUAUGUGGAGGAACACCGAUGGCGAAGGCAGCCCCCUGGGUCAAGAUUGACGCUCAUGCACGAAAGCGUGGGGAGCAAACAGGAUUAGAUACCCCGGUAGUCCC
rnacentral:rRNA from 1 species